rnacentral:rRNA from 1 species
GGAAUAUUGGACACUGGGCGAAAGCCUGAUCCAGCGACGCCGCGUGUGUGAAGAAGGCCUGCGGGUUGUAAAGCACUUUCGAUGGGAACGAAAUGUGCCUGGCUAAUACCCCGGCAAGCUGACGUUACUCAAUGAAGAAGCACCGGCUAACGCGGUGCUAGCAGCCGCGGUAAUACAGAGGGUGCGAGCGUUACUCGGAAUUACUGGGCGUAAAGCGCACGUAGGUGGCGACGUAAGUCGGGUGUGAAAGCCCCGGGCUCAACCUGGGAAUUGCAUUCGAGACUGUGUUGCUGGAGUACGGAAGAGGAGGGCGGAAUUCCCGGUGUAGCGGUGAAAUGCGUAGGUAUCGGGAGGAACAUCAGUGGCGAAGGCGGCCCUCUGGUCCAGUACUGACACUCAAGUGCGAAAGCGUGGGGAGCAAA